GACCUGAAGGAGGCUCACACUGGUUCUCAAGGCUAGGAAAAUGAAUUGAAUCAAUACUGCAUCACAAUUUUAUUAGACACAGUGGACCCACCAAAGGGAUAUUUCAUUAUGAUGUUUUGACAGACACAGAUGCACUGUUGCAUGAAGAAGGGGACAAGGAGAGAAGGAUUAGGGUCCAAAUGACGUCUGUUUGGAUUCUGGUCAUUUGGGAGCUACUGACUGAACGGAACAGUGAACAUCUGCCACCUGCUGGUGAAGAACAGAACUACACAUUACAUUAACUCGUCUUAAUGAAAACUUCAGAAUACAGAUAAUGAAAUGGCUACAUUUAUGUUUUAUUACCUGAAGCUAACAAAUACAAAUAAAAAAUCUUAAUGGUAAAAUAAAAUCUUAAGCAGUUUUAUUUAAAAAAAUAUAUACACA